AGUUUGUUGGUAGGGUAAUGGCCUACCAAGACUAUGAUCAAUAGCUGAUUUGAGAGGAUGAUCAGCCACAUUGGGACUGAGACACGGCCCAAACUCCUACGGGAGGCAGCAGUGGGGAAUCUUGCACAAUGGAGGAAACUCUGAUGCAGCGAUGCCGCGUGAGUGAAGAAGGCCUUUGGGUUGUAAAGCUCUUUCGUCGGGGAAGAAAAUGACUGUACCCGAAUAAGAAGGUCCGGCUAACUUCGUGCCAGCAGCCGCGGUAAUACGAAGGGACCUAGCGUAGUUCGGAAUUACUGGGCUUAAAGAGUUCGUAGGUGGUUGAAAAAGUUGGUGGUGAAAUCCCAGAGCUUAACUCUGGAACUGCCAUCAAAACUUUUCAGCUAGAGUAUGAUAGAGGAAAGCAGAAUUUCUAGUGUAGAGGUGAAAUUCGUAGAUAUUAGAAAGAAUACCAAUUGCGAAGGCAGCUUUCUGGAUCAUUACUGACACUGAGGAACGAAAGCAUGGGUAGCGAAGAGGAUUAGAUACCCUCGUAGUCCAUGCCGUAAACGAUGUGUGUUAGACGUUGGAA
rnacentral:rRNA from 1 species